rnacentral:tRNA from 1 species
GCCUCUGAAGCUCAGUUGGUUAGAGCACUGCACAGGAAUCGCAGGACCGCACGUUCGAUUCCUGCCAGGGACC